rnacentral:rRNA from 1 species
UACGUAGGGUGCGAGCGUUGCUCGGAAUCACUGGGCGUAAAGGGUGCGUAGGCGGCCGUGCAAGUCUGGCGUGAAAGCCCCGGGCUCAGCCCGGGAAGUGCGCUCGAAACUGCGCGGCUCGAGUGCCGGAGGGGAGAGUGGAAUUCCUGGUGUAGCGGUGAAAUGCGUAGAUAUCAGGAGGGAUACCGGUGGCGAAAGCGACUCUCUGGACGGCAACUGACGCUGAGGCACGAAAGCGUGGGGAGCAAACAGG